UACAAGCCGGCGUGCAGUAGGAUGGCGUUACUUUGUCCUAUCCUGUAAAGGAAGUCUCAAGCAAAGUCAAAAAUCCAAGAAGACCGUUAACACUCGAAACACACCCUUCUCGUGUCUUGGCCUUUUCAUGUGCCCUCCCCUCCUCUCUUCCUCGUCCCAUAAAAGGUAAGAAAACCCAGAGCUCAUCCAUUCUCUCAUCGGGCAUUGUCUGUCGGUGAUUAGUUCUCUUGCAUCACUCAUUUAUUUCGGCGAUCUCUUCUCAUGUAUCGUCGUCUAGUGGUGACUAGUUCUCUUGCUUUACUCAUGUAUUUCGAUGGUGUUUUUUUAUUCUUUAUUUAUCGAACCCUGACUACAUCAUAGAAACAAAACUCCGAUGGCUUCAUCAACUAUAAUAUGUGAAACCCAGCCAUGGAAGGACUUGAAGUCUCACGUUGAGAAAAUUAAAAAGACUCAUUUACGAGAUCUGUUGAGCGACGCUGACCGAUGCAAGUCAACGAUCCUGUAAGUCUCUUUAUAGUUCUCGUUACAACGAAUUCAGUUUGUAAAUUGUAAUGCAUGUGUGCAUGUUGAUUUUGACGGAAUUACGCUUGACUGCUCGCGCCAACAAGCCACUCUUUAUACCGUGGACAAGAUUUUUUACCUAGCAGAGGUAUGCAUUCUUUUUUUUUUGGUAUAAAACAAAAAUUCUAGAAUUCUUACAAGCAUUAAUUGGUCUGAAAUAUUUGUGAAGCAAUUGAUGUUGUUGAACAUGUGGUGGCCGGAGAGGCUGGCCAAAACAGGAAUUCUUUUUGUUCGUUUUCCAAUGCUUGAAAGGAUUUUUUGCAAUGUAAUUAUCCGUGUAAGUUUUUGUUUUUCAUGAUACAGGUGGCCCAUCUCAAGGAAAAGAUUGAUCGCAUGCUCAAUGGGAAGCAUGCGAGUUUGAUUUUUUUUCUGCAAUCUAUUUCAUAUUUACGUUUAUGAGAAAUUGGCGUACAAUAUUUUUUUUUUCCGCGAAGAAAUUCGUUGUCCUUUAUGAAUAUCUGAGGUGUGCUCCUAGAUUUUUUUCUUUAUAAUGCCUUAACAGUCCCUUUUGUUAGAGCAAAGGGACAUUACAUGUCCAACUCUCUUGAUUUUACUUGUUAAUAAUUAUAUCACUGAUGUUUGCAAUUUUUUUUAUUUUUGUAUUUUUUUGACAAUAGGGCUGGAUUCUUUAUUGGAGACGGAGCUGGUGUGGGUAAAGGUAGAACAAUUGCGGGCUUGAUAUGGGAAAGCUGGCACCAUACGAGGAGGAAAGCAUUGUGGAUUUCUGUUGGUUCAGACUAGAAGUUGUUCGAUGCAAGAAGAGACCUGGAUGAUGUCACGCACAUAUUGAAGGUAAAUUCUCAAUUCCUUGCUAGCUUAUGUGAUGAUUUUAUGCAAUAACAAUAUUCUGUUUUAGCUAUUCGACAGAUGGGACUAAUGAUUGAAGUAACAUACUAUUUGAAAUCAGAAUUAUUUGUUCAACAUUGAGUGUGGUGUGGUUUGCUUUAAUGUGUUGAGUUAUCGGAAUUUGGAAAACGAGAGCUUAGGGACCUGAGAGGAUAUUUGUCUUGCUUUGGUGGUAGAAUAAAUGUUUUGUUAAUUAAAUCUUCUGCAAUAUUUUUAUAUGGAUUAGAGGAGCAAAUGCGUAAACGUCAGAUGUGAGUAUACAGCAAAUAUAUUAGGAAAUAUAUUUAGGUUUAGUUUUUCUUUUAUCGUCGCAUUAUUUUUGCUGUUGUUAUUUUUCACAUUAGCUUUUAUUUGUGCUGAAGAGCACUUUUGGCCUUGCCUUGUUUGGAUAUUUCUGAGUAGUGAUCAUCUCAUUGUACAGCGUUUGCAUGCAUGCAAAUGUUUUAUUCUAUUUGUAAAAGCAUAGUAAAGUAGAUAGAGAAGUUUCUCUUAAUAAUUAUUGAAGAGAAACUAUGUUGCAUACAUGUAUUGUGUAUCACAGGGGGUGGAGCUGACAAGAGAUAUUGAUAUGCCUUUCCUUUUCCUUUCCUAUCCUUUUGUUUUGAGAGAAGGGGUAAAGGGGAUCGAUAUUUCCAUCGGCAUUGGUGGCAGCUUCCUAGGGCAGAAGCUUGCUUAAAUUAUAGUUGUUUACAAAUGCAAUCAGAUCCAGAGGCUAGCAAAUGUGCUGUAGAACGCCAACAGCGAUUGUAAGCAAUUCCAUGUCACUAUAACUUCAAAAAUCUUUGUUUUUUGUGCUAGUGUUUUACAAGUCUCUCAUCCCACACUCACUGAGGUAGGCUUAUUCAAAUUGUUUUAGCAAGGUCCACUUGCUUUGAGCAGUGAUUACUGAGCUUGUGUGAUAAAUUUUAGAACUUAUUGUAUCCCACCUUAAUUAUGGAAGAGGAGCUCUAAGCCGUUCAUGUUUGAAAUUUUACCCGGGAUUCAGAGAAACUAUGUUGCAUACAGAUAUUGUGUAUCACAAGGGGUGGAGCUGGCAAGAGAUAUUGAUAUGCCUUUUCUUUUCCUUUCGUAUCCUUUUUUUUUAGAGAAGGGCUAAAAGGGAACACCCAAAUGCUAGUUGUAUCCUAAAAGUGGCAUUUUUUUUACAUAGUGUAUUUCAGGGGAACAGUGCAUCAUUUAACAUGUUGCCCCUGAGUUAGAAGUACACGUUAUGACUGACUUCUGGAAGUGGUGUUAACAUACAGUGGGCAUGUUUCAUGUGUGGACAGGUAAUCAUAGGUGCAUUCAUGGUUCAAGGGGUCAUCUUGUAUGCAUUUAUAUGCCUUGCAAUUACUCUGUCUCUCUUUCUGUGACUAUAACGUGUGACCAUUCUGUCACUUAUUUUUAGACCCUCUACAGUUGCCAAGCAUGUGGUCGCAGUUAGCAUUAAUCUUGUGGUAUAGCGAAUUCCUUUUGUCUGCACUCUCAUAUUCUUCAGACUUUGGGAUAAUUGAAGUUCUAUGGUAUUUCAAAAUUCAUUUUCGCUCCUCCCUUUUUAGUGUUUUCUAUUCAUGGCUUUUCAUUCUUCUUUUCAUCUUUCAAAGAUGCCUUUUUUUUUUAUUUAACCACUCUGGCUACUUGUAUACUCCAACUGUCUUUUACCAAUGCAGUUUGGGGAAAAGUUUGGCAUCGAUCCUAUUAAUGCUUUUGCAUUCUGGGACUAGGUUGGUGGCAGAUUUAGUGUUUGCAGUGUUGUUGGUGUGUUGCCUUUGUUCUCCAAUAUGGUUUCUCAAAUUGCUGGGAAGUAUGGUAACUUCUGAUCAUUUUAAUUCACAAAGUUAGGUUUCUCUUGCACCGUUAUUUUAGAGGCUGCAAGAAACAAUGUCAAAAGUGGUAAGAGUUCUUAAUCUCUAGCAUAGAAAGAUGUAUAACAUACAAUUAAUCACUUUUUUGCCAUGAAGUGUUCAAGAGUUUUGCUUCGUUGAUUCCCUCGAUAUCUACUUUAGUUUCCUACUUAUCCCCUUGUAACUUGCAUAUAAUGUGUUUGCUAUUUUGUGAGGAUUUGUUUUAUAGUGAUAAAAACUUUUAUUUUUCUACUUGAAGGUUCUUGGAAGGAGCAUUAAGCAUUGACAACAUUCAUAUUCUGCACCAUUUGAAAAAAAUCUACCUGUCAGGAUAGAAAGUAAUGGCAAUGAGGCAUCUAUUGAUGGUGUACUACUUCUCUUUGAGACUGGAAAAAUUGAAUUUGGCUAACCAGGAGCAAAUGACCGGCAUAGCUUUUAUCAACUAAUUCACCAGGUAAUUUUGUUGCUCCAUUAUGCAUUUGGUUGAAGUGAAAUUAGGUCAUUGUAUACCUAUUUUGAUUUUUAAAAAUCAAUUCUGGAAUUCAAAUGAUUCCUUGUUCCUAAAAUUCAUUUUUUUAAAAAACAAUCUAUGUAUACUUUGUUUGAGUAGGAUAAGUUGUUUCAGGAUGCAUUUAUUUCACUUCUUGAUGUCUUUAUUCAAAAUUUAUUUGUUUUACUGGAAAAAAGUACAUAACUCAUGGCGAAUCUUGAAUCAAAUAACUAGUCAAACCAAAAAGGAUUCAAAACAAGGGGGGAAAAAACAACUCUAAAAUAUUAUAGAAAACUCUAAAGUGUGUUGUGUUUUCCUUGUAGAGAAAAACACUUUGUUGUACUGUUCACACACUCACAGAUUAUUGGGGAUAUAAUGUGCAUUUUCCUUUUCCUAAUUUAGUCAUCGAAUUUUUAUUUUUGUGAUUUGACCUUAAAUUGAAGGUAAAUUACUCAUGAUUUAUUAAGAAAAGACAACAUUGAAUGAAAAGGGUGGUUUGUCUAGUUUUGCACAAAAAAACACAUUAUGGUCCUUCAUCUUUCAAAUAAUAUAAGUUAGGUCUCUUUGAAAGUUUUUAAGAUUUAAUUUUUGGUCCAAAACUUCAUUUUCCUUGUAUCCUCCCUAGUUAGAGAAAGGAGAGAGAGAGACUCAUUAGAUUUUAAUGUUAGAGAAAAAAAAUUGUCGUUGGCAAUGAUUUCGGCUACUAAAAUUAUGGAUCUUGAUACCAACAGGUUCCAUUUGGUGAGAGGGGUUCCAUUUAGGUCAUUUUAAACCUUAAAAUUGCUUAGAAAACCAGACCUAAGCUCGGGAAGAUAUUUGAUUUUGAGUUUUUAUGUUGUUUUUUAUGCCCAUUUAUGGGUUUAUCAAUGAGUUUAUGGUCUUUUCCAGGUGUUUUGAGUCAAAAAUAGAUAAAACAAGCUUAUAGGCCAAUAAACCACCCUGAUUUUCGAACCAUCUUAGUGGCUGAAAUAUGAGGAAUUCCAGAAGAUGCGUCGUUUGUUUUAUUUAUUUAUUCAAAAUAAUUAGGGCAGAUAACAUGUCAUCCACUUUAUCAGCUUAAAAUCUUUAACUGAUAGUUUGCAAGGUGGAUUGAUUCUUUUGAUGUUAUGAAAUCAAAUGGAGGAUUGUGGAAUCAAAUGAAAUCAUAGUAGAGAUGGAGAGAAUUUAAAACAAUUUUAAUGCUUUAAUACCAUGUAAAACACUAACAAAUUAUGUUGAUAGAUUUUAAAAAUGUAUAUUACAUUAUGAUAGCUAGUACACACACAUAUAUAUGUUCAUGCACAACUAAUGCAGUAGCAAAAAAGAUAAAAAGAGAGUACAUACUACAUAGUAUUUAAAAUUCAAAAAGAAUGACAGACUAUUAAUGACUAUCUUCUCCUGAUCUUUAGGUGGUUGUUAUGCCACUCACCAUACUCAAUUGUUGUCUACGAAAACCACAAACUAUUACACAUUCACAACAUUUCCAAACUGAAAUACAGAUUAUAUCAUGGGAAAUCUUUUUUGGGUUAUGAAAAAUAAGACAACAUGAGCUAGCAAAAUUCCCAUAGAAAAUAGAAUCAUUAACUAAGGUAUUAUACUCAAAGUUUUUUGAUAAACAUUAUUAAAGUAGAAUAUUCUUAAGCAUAUGAUUUCCAAAUAGUAAACUUGCAUUCAAAUACUCUAUUAACACAACUAUUUCAUUAAAAAGCACGAGCCACAAACUUGUCCAAUUUUGUAAGCAUUUAGUGACAAAAGUAUGAGGUCGAGAGAAAGCCUAUUGCCAGAGAAGGCCUGGGCAAGACAAAGCAAUGCAUAAGAAUAUUCAUCUAGCGUUAAAGCUAUGUUAUAGUAUGGGGAUUCAUCUUGUAAGGUACAAGAAGUUGCAAAACAUUCUGUUUUUACAACUAUUGUAGUGUCUAUAAAUAAAAAAACAAUUAAUAAUUAGACAUGCACCGCAGACAACCCCUUCACUAUUAGUUAGAUAAUUAUUGUAUUAUAACUUUUUGCCCUUAUAGAAUGCAAAUAUUGUUUAUUAUAUCUUUUUUUUCUUGUUUAGGGAUACAAAUGGUCUAAGCCCAUUUUUGCACCCUUCUGUUAUCACUUUUAUCAAUUGUGCACUUGUAUUUUCUAUAUAAGCUAAAUGAGUACAGUUUGGUCAAGGAGCAUGGUGAGGUGGUGGGUCAAGACAUUAACUGGAAUGUGAGAAAAGUUGAUGAUCAUAGAAACUCAAAGUAGUGAAGAACUGAAGUUAGCAGCUCAAUUGGCUUAGAUAAAUUUUCAAUUUUGAAAAAUUGUACUUAAUUGGUGGGAUUUUGAAAUACAUGUGUUCAUUUCACCAAAUUAAAAAAAAAGGCCUUUUUGACAAAGUGGAAAAAACUCAAAAUGCAAAUAAUGGAUUUAGCCUGUAUUAAUACUUAAACCUACCUUCCCAUGCGCAAGGGCAUCUAGCUGGGAAAAAAAGAUGGACAUAAGCUAUCAUGGUUAUUCACAAUCUCUCAUGUGAACGAAUUAA